GGCAACUUUUCCUCUGGACAGGUUUUGAUAAAUCUUCCCCAGAGUCUCUGCCUGGAGAUCUAUAGUGUGAAUAAGACCUUACACGUGAUUGUCAGCCGAACAUCCCCUCUUCUCACAGUGAGAGGAGCCGCUGACCAACCAAAGAUAAUCCCAUUGGUCCCUCCUCAGUCAGCUGAUCAUUGGGUCUUUUAUAGAGGGCAAAAAAAAAUUGCCCUAUGUAGAAGGCCCUUACCUGAGCUGACACGCCACAGGCUGGUCUUGUAAAUUCUCUCCUUAGUGUUUUCGGCUCCAUGGCGACUUUACUUUGCACAAAGUUCAUGGUAAAAUUGCAGGUUACAAUAACCGUUGUGUAGAUUCACUGUUUCUUCUCCCCGUGGGCAAAAAAUGUAUGUGACAAUUAGAAGAAUUCCAUUAUGGUCGGAAAUUGUUGCAAUUUUCAUAAAUCGCCUGCAGCCAUUACACGACCAAAAGUUACGGUGGAGCCACAGCCCAAUUCAUCCUCCUCUUUCUAUAGUACCCGGAUCUCCAAUACAUCCAUCCACACCGGUACUUUUAGUAUCGCCAAGAUUCUAAUGCUACAUUAUUCUCUUCUUUUGUAGUGAAUAAAAUGUUGAUGCAAACAGCGGGAAUCACCGAGUACGGGAGGGGCGUGCCCUUCUUUUGCCUGCACUGUGAUGACUCCUCCCCCUCCCUCACUCUGCUGACUUACUGCUCUGGCGGCCCUGCUUGGUGACCCUUUCCUCUCUGGAUUUAUGCUGUACACACAAUGAUUAUUGGAGAUUGCCUGUACUCUGCCACCAAAGACAAUAUGCCGUCGCUCUCCUUCGUCAUCAUCACGUCGCCGCGCAUGCCGUCCCGUCAUCCAAUAGGAGCGGCGUGCGUACUGUCGUGAUGACGGCAAUGGAGAGCGACGAUCCAGGGCAGCGGUGACGGUCCGGAGCAGCGAGGACACCCCGGGGACUUGAUGACAGUGACGAUCCAGGGCAGCGGUGACGGUCCGGAGCAGCGAGGACACCCCGGGGACUUGAUGACAGUGACGAUCCAGGGCAGCGGUGACGGUCCGGAGCAGCGAGGACACCCCGGGGACUUGAUGACAGUGACGUUCCAGGGCAGCGGUGACGGUCCAGAGCGGCAGAGAUACGUGAUAUUUCCUGGGGUGCAGAACACUAAAGCCUGCUGAUCCUGCGGGGCAUAUGGAUCGAAUCCAGGUGUUUUCAGCAGAGCUCGGAAAUAUUAUUUAUAUGACGGGGACUCUCCAGAGCGCUGCAGCUGUCAAUGGCUGGUGAAGAAAUUAUACCGAUUGGAGACUGAAAUGCAGAACGUUCUCAUGCCUCAGGUUAUUACACCAAAUAUAUGGAUUCCCCCACUUAGACGUUUACAGCUGCACUUUUGUGGAGGUUCUUUGUGGGUCCAUACUGUAUACAAAUUGACUAAUGAUAAUCAUUUUGAGAGUCACAGCAAGCAGACAUUCCCGUUACAAGUCUGGAUAGGUUUUAUCAUGCUAACAGAUUUUCUGGCAGGCAAAAUAUUUCAAUGAUAAAAUUGUGGUGUAAACAUGAUGGUCCAGACAAGAAGCAAAUAAAAUCGCAGAUAAAAUGUAGAUUCCUUCACACCUCCUAAACCAUGUGACCCCCGAAUGGAUAUUUUUUUAUAUCAGUUGGUUACUCAGUACCUAAGUACCUAAUCCUGACCAUGUACAUCUAAUUUUUCUGCCUCUAUUAACUAUAUUUAUUAUAAAAAAUACCUCUUUUCAUUAGCUCAUAAUAUUAGAAACAUUUCAGGGGAAGGGGGUGUGUCGUGUCCCUUCCUUGUGGUAGUGGGAGGUGAUCAGUGUGUGUUGGGAGGGGGUGUCUCCCUCCAUUGUGGUGGUGGGAGGUGAUUGGUGUGUGGUGAGAUGGGGCGUGUCCCUCCCUUGUGGUGGUGGGAGGUGAUUGGUGUGUGGUGAGAUGGGGCGUGUCCCUCCCUUGUGGUGGUAAGAGGUGAUUGGUGUGUGGUGAGAUGGGGCGUGUCCCUCUCUUGUGGUGGUGGGAGGUGAUUGAUGUAUUUACUCAUUUAGCCUUGUUGGCUAAGCUCAAGUGUAGUAUCUGUUCUUAUCAGUUUCAUGCCGGUGGUCCACAGCACCGAUGUGGAGCUGGUGGGGAUAGGUGCUGCAUGGUAGGGAGCAGAUGUACCAGGGCGUUCCGGGGCUGGUUCUGCGGAAUCAGCUCGACGGCUGCCCCGAUGUGACCUUUUUCCCUCUGGGUCUCGCCAUGAGGCUGAGAGCGUCUAGAGACGGUACUUUAGUGCCUCGGGGAGUGGCGACCCCGAGGUGCCAAAACUCAUUGGGAGUAUUGGCUCACUGAGUGGAAGCACUGGCACCAUGAACGCUUCACCUUGUGGCACUCACCUCUUGAUUCCCGGUCUUCUGGCUAAGAUCAGAGAAUUGUUUUUUUAUAGAUCCGGCCAAAUGUCCGGGCAGUAUACCUGCACACAUUCACGUAUUUAUUUCUAUUUUGUCAUUUUUUGCAUGUUGUGUGUCCACAGGAUUGUAAGGAUGCGGUAGCCCUUGUGGGUGUCCCUCCUAGCGGUCUAGGGAAGGUGUGUGUGGCCAUUAGGUUCCGCACCUCCCUGCAAAAACCCCGGGUACUCCUGCAUGGGCAGGGUACCAACCAUUAUCGGCUCUGCGGGCAGAUACCUUGGUUAACGCCAAGGGGGAUGCCGGGAGCAUUUGUGGUCCCUUAAUAGCUUCGGGGAAAAGGGACAUCAAACCUUGAACCUCGCAGGUACCUUUUAUUCCGGAGGUAAAGAGUAAGGUUUGUUGGGGGGGGCCUCUCGGAGAAGGGCUUGCAAUAGACCGCAUCUUUUGUGCACGUUUUUUUUAGUGUAACACGUUUUCCUUGCACUUUGGGUGAUUCGAGAGCACGUUCCUCGGCUCUUAGCCUUGUUCAUGAGUCAUCACUUGUCCAUGAGUCAUGGCCAAGCCUGAUGGUGCUGCAGGACUGGUUAGUGUCCCACUAGUGGUGGGAUUUUCAUGGCCCAUUUUCUUUAUUAAAUAUUCAAAAUUUUUGAAACAACCAUAUUACAAAAAGUUUUAAAUUUUUACCAGUAACAACAUUUAAAAGCAUGUUCACAUGACUGAAUUUUACACGGAUUUUGGAGUGGAAUCUGUACCUAUUCUCUGCGGCUGUAAUUCACUGCAAAACCUCCUUCUAUUGUCUCCAGUGAGAAUCCUUGCUAUAGUUUUAAUACCACAAAAAGUGCAGGAAAAAAAAAGACUUUUUGGCACAGUUUUACAUGGAUUUAUUAUUGGGUUGUCAUGACUAGCUGUAAGAUCAGCU